UUUGCGAUGGAAUUGUACUUGAAAACUAGCAAUUGAGACCAUAAGGUCAUAAUGAAAAUGUUUACUGAGAUAAUAAAUCAAGUCAAAGUAAGGUAAUUUCCCCAUAGACUUUAAUGUAAUCAGACUUCUUUUUCGGGCCAGUGGAGUCGCCCUCCUGCUGGAAAUUAGAUAGCAUGCAGGUUUGAGGCACUUCAACAUUGGCUUCUCU